rnacentral:rRNA from 1 species
UACGGAGGAGGCAAGCGUUAUCCGGAAUUAUUGGGCGUAAAGCGUCCGUAGGUGGCUCUCUCAAGUCUGCGGUCAAAGACCGGGGCUCAACCCUGGAAAGGCCGUGGAAACUGGUGAGCUAGAGUGCGGUAGGGGCAGAGGGAAUUCCCAGUGUAGCGGUGAAAUGCGUAGAGAUUGGGAAGAACGACCGGUGGCGAAAGCGCUACUGCUGGGCCGCA